AUUGAACGCUGGCGACAUGCCUUACACAUGCAAGUCGAACGGCAGCACGGGUGCUUGCACCUGGUGGCGAGUGGCGAACGGGUGAGUAAUACAUCGGAACAUGUCCUGUAGUGGGGGAUAGCCCGGCGAAAGCCGGAUUAAUACCGCAUACGAUCUACGGAUGAAAGCGGGGGACCUUCUGGCCUCGCGCUAUAGGGUUGGCCGAUGGCUGAUUAGCUAGUUGGUGGGGUAAAGGCCUACCAAGGCGACGAUCAGUAGCUGGUCUGAGAGGACGACCAGCCACACUGGGACUGAGACACGGCCCAGACUCCUACGGGAGGCAGCAGUGGGGAAUUUUGGACAAUGGGCGAAAGCCUGAUCCAGCAAUGCCGCGUGUGUGAAGAAGGCCUUCGGGUUGUAAAGCACUUUUGUCCGGAAAGAAAUCCUUGGCCCUAAUACGGUCGGGGGAUGACGGUACCGGAAGAAUAAGCACCGGCUAACUACGUG
rnacentral:rRNA from 1 species